rnacentral:rRNA from 1 species
CACGUAGGGUGCGAGCGUUGUCCGGAAUUAUUGGGCGUAAAGAGCUCGUAGGCGGUGUGUCGCGUCGGCCGUGAAAACCUGCAGCUUAACUGUGGGCUUGCGGUCGAUACGGGCAUCACUGGAGUUCGGCAGGGGAGACUGGAAUUCCUGGUGUAGCGGUGAAAUGCGCAGAUAUCAGGAGGAACACCGGUGGCGAAGGCGGGUCUCUGGGCCGAUACUGACGCUGAACUGCGAAAGCUAGGGGAGCGAACGGG